rnacentral:rRNA from 1 species
UCAAGUUAUUAAGGGUGCAGGGCGGAUGCCUUGGCACUAGGAGCCGAUGAAGGACGUGAUAAGCUGCGAUAAGCUUCGGGGAGUUGCACGUAAACUUUGAUCCGAAGAUUUCCGAAUGAGGAAACUCACUUAGAGUAAUGUCUAAGUAUCAUUAAGUGAAUACAUAGCUUAAUGAGGGGAACUCAGGGAACUGAAACAUCUAAGUACCUGAAGGAAGAGAAAGAAAUUCGAUUCCGUAAGUAGCGGCGAGCGAACGCGGAUUAGCCCAAACCAAUAAAGUUUUCUUUAUUGGGGUUGCGGACAUAUCAUAACGAAGAGGUAUCGUAAUUGAAGAGGUUUGGAAAGACCCACCACAGAAGGUAAUAGUCCUGUAUGUUAAACGAGAAGACUUCAGAUAUGAUCCAGAGUACCACGGGACACGUGAAACCCUGUGGGAAGCAGGAGGGACCACCCUCCAAGGCUAAAUACUACCUAGUGACCGAUAGCGUAUAGUACCGUGAGGGAAAGGUGAAAAGAACCCCGGGAGGGGAGUGAAAUAGAACCUGAAACCCUGCACUUACAAGCUGUGGAAGCACAUUUCUUGUGUGACCGCGUACUUUUUGUAGAACGGGCCAACGAGUUACGUUAAGUAGCAAGGUUAAGCACUUAAGGUGCGGAGCCGUAGCGAAAGCGAGUUUUAACUGAGCGUUCAGUUACUUGACGUAGACCCGAAACCGGGCGACCUACCCAUGAGCAGGAUGAAGCGAAAGUAAAAUUUCGUGGAGGUCCGAACCCACGAGCGUUGAAAAGCUCGGGGAUGACUUGUGGGUAGCGGUGAAAUUCCAAUCGAGCCCGGAGAUAGCUGGUUCUCCCCGAAAUAGCUUUAGGGCUAGCCUCAAGGUGAGAGAUACGGAGGUAGAGCACUGAAUGUCCUAGGGGGUAUUGCACCUACCGAAGACUAUCAAACUCCGAAUGCCGUCAUCUUAUACUUGGGAGUCAGACUGUGGGUGAUAAGAUUCAUAGUCGAAAGGGCAACAGCCCAGAUCGUCAGCUAAGGUCCCUAAAUGUAAGUUAAGUGGUAAAGGAUGUGGGAUUGCACAGACAACCAGGAUGUUGGCUUAGAAGCAGCCACUCAUUCAAAGAGUGCGUAAUAGCUCACUGGUCGAGUGAUCCUGCGCCGAAGAUUUCCGGGGCUAAAACUUACUACCGAAGCUACGGCAUCAGUAAUGAUGGGUAGGGGAGCUUCCCAUACGGGUUGAAGCAUGACCGUAAGGACAUGUGGACAGUAUGGGAGUGAGAAUGUUGGCAUGAGUAGCGAGAUGUGGGUGAGAAUCCCACAGGCCGUAAACCCAAGGUUUCCAGGGGAAGGUUCGUCCGCCCUGGGUUAGUCGGGACCUAAGCUGAGGCCGAAAGGCGUAGGUGAUGGACAACAGGUUGAUAUUCCUGUACUACCGAUAACCGUUUGAGAGAAGGGAUGACACAGUAGGAUAAGCUAAGCACACUGUUGGUUAUGUGUGCCCAAGCAUUGAGGCAGUCAAAGUAGGCAAAUCCGCUUUGAUAAUGCUGGGAUGUGAUGGGGAGCGAAAUUUAGUAGCGAAGUAGCUGAUUUCACACUGUCAAGAAAAGUCUCUAUCGAGGUUAAAGGUACCCGUACCGCAAACCGACACAGGUGGGUGAGGAGAGUAUCCUAAGGCCAGCGAGAGAACUGUUGUUAAGGAACUCGGCAAAAUGACCCCGUAACUUAGGGAUAAGGGGUGCCACCAUCAGGUGGCCGCAGAGAAUAGGCCCAAGCGACUGUUUACCAAAAACAUAGGUUUCUGCUAAGUCGCAAGACGAUGUAUAGGAGCUGACGCCUGCCCGGUGCUGGAAGGUUAAGGGGAUCUGUUAGAGCAAUCGAAGCAGUGAACUUAAGCCCCAGUAAACGGCGGCCGUAACUAUAACGGUCCUAAGGUAGCGAAAUUCCUUGUCGGGUAAGUUCCGACCCGCACGAAAGGCGUAACGAUUUGGGCACUGUCUCAACAACAGACUCGGUGAAAUUGUAAUUCCGGUGAAGAUGCCGGAUACCUGCGACAGGACGGAAAGACCCCAUGGAGCUUUACUGUAGCUUGACAUUGGGUCUUGGUACUACAUGUACAGGAUAGGUGGGAGGCUUUGAAACCAGGACGCCAGUUUUGGCGGAGCCAUCCUUGGGAUACCACCCUUGUAGUACUGGGACUCUAACCAUAGGCCAUGAAUCUGGUCUUGGGACACUGUCAGGUGGGCAGUUUGACUGGGGCGGUCGCCUCCCAAAAGGUAACGGAGGCGCUCAAAGGUUCUCUCAGUACGGUCGGAAAUCGUACGUAGAGUGUAAAGGCAAAAGAGAGCUUGAUUGCAAGACAUACAGGUCGAGCAAGGAUGAAAAUCGGACUUAGUGAUCCGGUGGUUCUGCGUGGAAGGGCCAUCGCUCAACGGAUAAAAGCUACCCUGGGGAUAACAGGCUUAUCUCCCCCAAGAGUCCACAUCGACGGGGAGGUUUGGCACCUCGAUGUCGGCUCAUCACAUCCUGGGGCUGUAGUAGGUCCCAAGGGUUGGGCUGUUCGCCCAUUAAAGUGGUACGCGAGCUGGGUUCAGAACGUCGUGAGACAGUUCGGUCCCUAUCCGUCGCAGGCGUAGGAAAUUUGAGAAGACCUGUCCUUAGUACGAGAGGACCGGGAUGGACGUACCUCUGGUGUACCAGUUGU